rnacentral:rRNA from 1 species
CCUACGGGAGGCAGCAGUGAGGAAUAUUGGUCAAUGGACGAGAGUCUGAACCAGCCAAGUAGCGUGAAGGAUGACUGCCCUAUGGGUUGUAAACUUCUUUUAUAUGGGAAUAAAAUGUUCCACGUGUGGGAUUUUGUAUGUACCAUAUGAAUAAGGCUCGGCUAACUCCGUGCCAGCAGCCGCGGUAAUACGGAGGAUCCGAGCGUUAUCCGGAUUUAUUGGGUUUAAAGGGAGCGUAGGUGGAUUGUUAAGUCAGUUGUGAAAGUUUGCGGCUCAACCGUAAAAUUGCAGUUGAAACUGGCAGUCUUGAGUACAGUAGAGGUGGGCGGAAUUCGUGGUGUAGCGGUGAAAUGCUUAGAUAUCACGAAGAACUCCGAUUGCGAAGGCAGUUCACUGGACUGCAACUGACACUGAGGCUCGAAAGUGUGGGUAUCAAACAGGAUUAGAUACCCGAGUAGUC